rnacentral:rRNA from 1 species
UUCGUAGGCGGCCAAGUAAGUCAGGGGUGAAAUCUAGCGGCUCAACCGUUAAACUGCCCUUGAAACCGCUUGGCUUGAGGACAUGAGAGGAAAGGGGAAUUCUCGGUGUAGCGGUGAAAUGCGUGGAUAUCGAGAGGAACACCAGUGGCGUAGGCGCCUUUCUGGCAUGUUUCUGACGCUGAGGAACGAAAGCUAGGGGAGCGAACGGGAUUAGAUACCCCGGUAGUCCUAGCUGUAAACGAUGUGCACUAGGUGUGGGAGGUAUCGACUCCUUCCGUGCCGCAGCCAACGCAUUAAGUGCACCGCCUGGGGAGUACGGCCGCAAGGUUGAA